rnacentral:rRNA from 1 species
UGCGUAGGCGGCCUGUUAAGUCAGGGGUGAAAGACGGUAGCUCAACUAUCGCAGUGCCCUUGAUACUGAUGGGCUUGAAUACACUAGAGGUAGGCGGAAUGUGACAAGUAGCGGUGAAAUGCAUAGAUAUGUCACAGAACACCGAUUGCGAAGGCAGCUUACUAUGGUGUCAUUGACGCUGAGGCACGAAAGCGUGGGGAUCAAACAGGAUUAGAUACCCUGGUAGUCCACGCCCUAAACGAUGAAUACUCGCUGUUAGCGAUAUACAGUUAGCGGCUAAGCGAAAGCGUUAAGUAUUCCACCUGGGGAGUACGCCCGCAAGGGUGAA